GUUAAUGUAGCUUAAUAAUAAAGCAAAGCACUGAAAAUGCUUAGAUGGAACUCUAAUUUCCCAUAAA
rnacentral:tRNA from 1 species